rnacentral:tRNA from 1 species
CUUCGUAGUGUAAUGGUCAGCACGCUGGGUGCGUAUUCCAGAGGUCCGUGGUUCGAGUCCCGGCUAAG